rnacentral:rRNA from 1 species
AUGUUCGAGUAUCUAAAUGUUGUCAGCAAGAUGUUUGAUAGUGAGGCUGAAGGCUAUGAAUUCUACAACAAAUAUUCUCUUGAAAAAGGUUUUAGUGUGAGGAAAAGCUACGUUGAGUGGGAUGGAUCCAACAAAUACAUAAUUUUAAGGAAAAUUGUGUGUAGUCGUCAAGGGUUUCGCGAAGAGAAGCACAUGAAAAGAAAGAUGGAAUAUAGAAAGAGGAGGUCACGAAGUUUAACUCGUGUUGGGUGUAAUGCUAAAUUGGUCAUUACGAGACAUGAGGAAAUCGGUCUGUGGUUUGUCAAGGAUUUCAUCGAUGAGCACAGCCAUCCUCUAGCCCCAUGGGAUCUUUUUGUCUGCUGUAUUCGCACAGACGAAUUAGCGAUGAGCAGAAAGCGGACAUUGCGGACAUGGAAAAAUGUGGGAUCCGCAAAUACCAUAUUAUGGAUAUUUUGUGCUUUCAAUACGGUGGAUUUGAUAAGGUUGGAUGCAUAA